UGCCGGGGUGGCGGAAUUGGUAGACGCGCAUGAUUCAGGGUCAUGUGCCCGCAAGGGCGUGCGGGUUCAAGUCCCGCCCCCGGCACC
rnacentral:tRNA from 1 species